CACGUAGGGGCCAAGCGUUGUCCGGAUUUAUUGGGCGUAAAGAGCGUGUAGGCGGCUAGGUAGGUCCGUUGUGAAAACUCGAGGCUCAACCUCGAGACGCCGGUGGAAACCAUCUAGCUAGAGUCCGGAAGAGGAGAGUGGAAUUCCUGGUGUAGCGGUGAAAUGCGCAGAUAUCAGGAAGAACACCCGUGGCGAAGGCGGCUCUCUGGGACGUGACUGACGCUGAGACGCGAAAGCGUGGGGAGCGAACAGG
rnacentral:rRNA from 1 species